rnacentral:rRNA from 1 species
GUACACUCCUGCGGGAGGCAGCAGUGGGGAAUAUUGCACAAUGGGCGCAAGCCUGAUGCAGCCAUGCCGCGUGUAUGAAGAAGGCCUUCGGGUUGUAAAGUACUUUCAGCGGGGAGGAAGGCGAUAAGGUUAAUAACCUUGUCGAUUGACGUUACCCGCAGAAGAAGCACCGGCUAACUCCGUGCCAGCAGCCGCGGUAAUACGGAGGGUGCAAGCGUUAAUCGGAAUUACUGGGCGUAAAGCGCACGCAGGCGGUCUGUCAAGUCGGAUGUGAAAUCCCCGGGCUCAACCUGGGAACUGCAUUCGAAACUGGCAGGCUAGAGUCUUGUAGAGGGGGGUAGAAUUCCAGGUGUAGCGGUGAAAUGCGUAGAGAUCUGGAGGAAUACCGGUGGCGAAGGCGGCCCCCUGGACAAAGACUGACGCUCAGGUGCGAAAGCGUGGGGAGCAAACAGGAUUAGAAACCCGUGUAGUCCCAUG